GGUUAAGCGACUAAGCGUACACGGUGGAUGCCCUGGCAGUCAGAGGCGAUGAAGGGCGUGCUAAUCUGCGAUAAGCGCCGGUAAGGUGAUAUGAACCGUUAUAACCGGCGAUACCCGAAUGGGGAAACCCAGUGUGAUUCGUCACACUAUCAUUAACUGAAUCCAUAGGUUAAUGAGGCGAACCGGGGGAACUGAAACAUCUAAGUACCCCGAGGAAAAGAAAUCAACCGAGAUUCCCCCAGUAGCGGCGAGCGAACGGGGAGGAGCCCAGAGCCUGAAUCAGCAUGUGUGUUAGUGGAAGCGUCUGGAAAGGCGCGCGAUACAGGGUGACAGCCCCGUACACAAAAGCGCAUGUGCUGUGAGCUCGAUGAGUAGGGCGGGACACGUGGUAUCCUGUCUGAAUAUGGGGGGACCAUCCUCCAAGGCUAAAUACUCCUGACUGACCGAUAGUGAACCAGUACCGUGAGGGAAAGGCGAAAAGAACCCCGGCUAGGGGAGUGAAAAAGAACCUGAAACCGUGUACGUACAAGCAGUGGGAGCACAGGUUUACCUGUGUGACUGCGUACCUUUUGUAUAAUGGGUCAGCGACUUAUAUUCUGUAGCAAGGUUAACCGAAUAGGGGAGCCGGAGGGAAACCGAGUCUUAAUUGGGCGUUAAGUUGCAGGGUAUAGACCC
rnacentral:rRNA from 1 species